rnacentral:rRNA from 3 species
UCUGGUAAUGAUGGCAGAGAGGUCACACCCGUUCCCAUACCGAACACGGAAGUUAAGCUCUCUAGCGCCGAUGGUAGUUGGGACCUUGUCCCUGUGAGAGUAGGACGUUGUCAGGC